rnacentral:rRNA from 1 species
CGGCGGACGGGUGAGUAACGCGUGGGUAACCUGCCUCAUACAGGGGGAUAACAGUUAGAAAUGGCUGCUAAUACCGCAUAAGACCACGGUACUGCAUGGUACAGUGGUAAAAACUCCGGUGGUAUGAGAUGGACCCGCGUCUGAUUAGGUAGUUGGUGAGGUAACGGCCCACCAAGCCGACGAUCAGUAGCCGACCUGAGAGGGUGACCGGCCACAUUGGGACUGAGACACGGUCCAG